rnacentral:rRNA from 1 species
UCGGGAAUUUUGCGCAAUGGACGAAAGUCUGACGCAGCAACGCCGCGUGAGGGAUGAAGGCCUUCGGGUUGUAAACCUCUUUUCUCAGGGACGAUAAUGACGGUACCUGAGGAAUAAGUCACGGCUAACUACGUGCCAGCAGCCGCGGUAAUACGUAGGUGGCUAGCGUUGUCCGGAUUUACUGGGCGUAAAGAGCGCGCAGGCGGUCGUUCAAGUCGAGUGUGAAAGCCCCCGGCUCAACUGGGGAGGGUCACUCGAUACUGAUCGACUCGAAGGCAGAAGAGGGAAGCGGAAUUCCCGGUGUAGUGGUGAAAUGCGUAGAUAUCGGGAGGAACACCAGUGGCGAAGGCGGCUUUCUGGGCUGCUCUUGACGCUGAGGCGCGAAAGCUAGGGUAGCAAACGG